GAGAAUGUUAUCACGGGAGACACACGGCGGGUGCUAACGUCCGUCGUGAAGAGGGAAACAACCCAGACCGCCAGCUAAGGUCCCAAAGUCAUGGUUAAGUGGGAAACGAUGUGGGAAGGCCCAGACAGCCAGGAUGUUGGCUUAGAAGCAGCCAUCAUUUAAAGAAAGCGUAAUAGCUCACUGGUCGAGUCGGCCUGCGCGGAAGAUGUAACGGGGCUAAACCAUGCACCGAAGCUGCGGCAGCGAUGCUUAUGCGUUGUUGGGUAGGGGAGCGUUCUGUAAGCCUGCGAAGGUGUGCUGUGAGGCAUGCUGGAGGUAUCAGAAGUGCGAAUGCUGACAUAAGUAACGAUAAAGCGGGUGAAAAGCCCGCUCGCCGGAAGACCAAGGGUUCCUGUCCAACGUUAAUCGGGGCAGGGUGAGUCGACCCCUAAGGCGAGGCCGAAAGGCGUAGUCGAUGGGAAACAGGUUAAUAUUCCUGUACUUGGUGUUACUGCGAAGGGGGGACGGAGAAGGCUAUGUUGGCCGGGCGACGGUUGUCCCGGUUUAAGCGUGUAGGCUGGUUUUCCAGGCAAAUCCGGAAAAUCAAGGCUGAGGCGUGAUGACGAGGCACUACGGUGCUGAAGCAACAAAUGCCCUGCUUCCAGGAAAAGCCUCUAAGCAUCAGGUAACAUCAAAUCGUACCCCAAACCGACACAGGUGGUCAGGUAGAGAAUACCAAGGCGCUUGAGAGAACUCGGGUGAAGGAACUAGGCAAAAUGGUGCCGUAACUUCGGGAGAAGGCACGCUGAUAUGUAGGUGAAGUCCCUUGCGGAUGGAGCUGAAAUCAGUCGAAGAUACCAGCUGGCUGCAACUGUUUAUUAAAAACACAGCACUGUGCAAACACGAAAGUGGACGUAUACGGUGUGACGCCUGCCCGGUGCCGGAAGGUUAAUUGAUGGGGUCAGCGCAAGCGAAGCUCUUGAUCGAAGCCCCGGUAAACGGCGGCCGUAACUAUAACGGUCCUAAGGUAGCGAAAUUCCUUGUCGGGUAAGUUCCGACCUGCACGAAUGGCGUAAUGAUGGCCAGGCUGUCUCCACCCGAGACUCAGUGAAAUUGAACUCGCUGUGAAGAUGCAGUGUACCCGCGGCAAGACGGAAAGACCCCGUGAACCUUUACUAUAGCUUGACACUGAACAUUGAGCCUUGAUGUGUAGGAUAGGUGGGAGGCUUUGAAGUGUGGACGCCAGUCUGCAUGGAGCCGGCCUUGAAAUACCACCCUUUAAUGUUUGAUGUUCUAACGUGGACCCGUGAUCCGGGUUGCGGACAGUGUCUGGUGGGUAGUUUGACUGGGGCGGUCUCCUCCUAAAGAGUAACGGAGGAGCACGAAGGUUGGCUAAUCCUGGUCGGACAUCAGGAGGUUAGUGCAAUGGCAUAAGCCAGCUUGACUGCGAGCGUGACGGCGCGAGCAGGUGCGAAAGCAGGUC
rnacentral:rRNA from 1 species